CUCCCAAGUUGGAUGAACCUGAAGGAGUAAGCAGUGCUCUCCGGGAGCACAGGGAAUACUUUCACCAGAGAUAAAUUCACGCAUGGACAAUCUGUAAGGAGUUUCUACGACGUAUCAAAGGCAGUCUAAUGACUGCCCAGUUAUAUGACAAGUGGCUUGCAGUUCCACAAAAGGCCAACCACAAAGAAAAACUGACAGCAGUGCGGAGGAAAGGAAACAGAACAUGGAAACAACACCUGCCCCAGUGGGAGAACAUACAGCCCAGGCCAUGACACACCAGCAAUAACUCCAGUGGCUCCUCCUCUUCAUAAGGACAAUAUAGAGAAAGGAGAAGGCAAUGUAGAUACAACCCGGCAAGCAAUUUGUAAAACUGCUCCUGCACCAAUAAAAAAACAAGGAUUUCGCUCUUUUCCACCAAUUUCUUGCCUGGACAGGAUGCUGCCAUCUCCUAAACUUGAUAUGCUGUCUAUCAUUGAGAGAAGGGGCCAAAAUACUGACCAAAUAUUCCGAUACCUACCAGGAAAAUCACAUUGGUCCCUGAGAGAUAAAAUAUAUACUAAUCAAGACAUCAACUGGCAUGAACAAUCUGUUCUCACAAUAGCUUCCGUU